ensembl:lncRNA
GACCUCAGUGAUUGAUUUUGCGUGUUUUUUUUAUAAUGUGCGGCGCCAAAUCGCAAACAGUGGCCAAAUUUCGCAAAACACAAGAGCAAGUCCUUGUUCUCUACGUAACAUUUGCGGACCAUGCAUAGCCUACUUGUUGAAAGCCGUACAGCGUCGGCAGUGUCCCAAAGCUGUCAAAUACUGCGCACAGCCUGCUGUCUCCGGUCAGGCAAAACCUACCAGCAUCCACCAGCGACCCGAACAACUCGGAGGAUUAAACAAUUUUAGAUAACUAAUUUCGCAUCCAGACCCGGAAGCUUGGAGAAAAAAAAAUAGAUGUGGUUUGUCACAUGGCUGAAGAUAUUUCAAUAACAACAAAAAAUGGCGACAAUCACGUUGCUCCGUAUGUUCUUGCUGCGUCAUUAAAAAUAUUCAUGUAAACAAGGGAAUUAAGAAGGAUAUUUAGAGCUAAUGGAGUUGUUUACAUGAAAAGGCGGGGAGGAGUCGACGCGCGAUGAGACUGGACUGCUUGGUUGGGCGGAGUCCUGAAAAGUAUCACAACAAGUCUGACGUCACUCGUCCUUGUGGUUAGUAUGAAUAAUCUGGCUUCUACAAACAAGGAAAAUAAGCUAUAAUGAGCUACUCCCACAUUACAUCAGAUAGAACUUGAGUAAACAAAAAUGGCUGCGACAUAACUUGACAAUAUUAUUCAACAUUAAACAUAGUAUCUCUGAUUGUACAAUUGCACAAUGUGUGCAGAUUUAGUAUAUGGAAUGAGUUUAUGAUCCGAUAUGAUGUAACCCAUGAUCAAUUAUUGGGAUUAUCUUCUAUGACACACCCUGCUUUCCCAAUAACUGCAUACUUGAGGGUGAAGUAAUUUCCAUUAGUAAAAUGUUUAUUAUUUAUUUAUUUUUAUAUUAUUUAUUAUUAGCUAACAAUAACUUCUUAACAUUUACAAUUCCAGCAUUGUUCAAAGUGCAGUCUGUUCCGCAGCCAUGGUGGAAGUUUAUAUAUCUAAAUAUGGGAAUUAUUUAUAAACAUAGAACCCUGUUAAUAUUUGAUGUCAUUUCACAUUAACAUAUCAGUCUGGUAUUUUUGGUAGCAGAUACCAAAUAGUCAUGUAAGCCUACUUCAAUUGUGACUCAUUAGGGGGAAAGGAAAGAUGGAAAGAUAUUGGACACAGAAUAGGGUGACACAGUUCUGCCGGUGAUUGACAGUGUGGAGUGUGGUGGAGAGUCGGUGGACGGCCAGAUUUGCCAGGCUGCCCUGGUUCAGUUAUCACAGUGCUGAUGCUGUGCCCAUGGAAGGUACAGUACUGUGAUAACUGAAUGAUGGUGGCCACCUUGACACUGGAUCAUUGGAAGCAAAGGACAUCCAGACUCCAAUUUAGUAAGGAUGAUGUCUUGAUGAAAGGGCUUAGCAUAUUGCAAUGGAUUGUUUACCAUAAAACGUCAGUUGAGGUAAAAAAAAAGAUUUAUCUUGCUACCGUAUUCUGUCUUAUGGAGAGAUGUUAUGCAUGCUGAUGUACAAAUAAAAUCAUGGCCACAUGAAAGUAUCAGAUUUCAUAUUGCAUAGGUUUUCUGCAUAGGUUUUCAAUAAAUGAAUCCAACACUUGUCUGUCUCUGUAUCUAUGUAUCUUCGAAUGUAUAUUAAGAUAAGUCAUAGACACUCUUAGCAUUGUAAAUAACAUUUACUAGCCUUCAUUCCAGCCACCCUCAUGACUCCAAGAAUAUUGCACAAUUUGGUCUAUGGGGGGAGGUAUAGCUCAGACUGCUGGGGAACACCGGUUGUCUGGAGAAACGUACCAUCCUGGUUCGGAUAGGACAAAUCAAAUCUUGUGAGGAUGUCAAUUUGAAAGCUAUGAAAUACAAAUUUAAUAUAAUUAGACUGAUUUGCAUAUUAUUAAUGAGUUAGAAUUAGGAAGUCAAUAUCAAUUUGAAACAGCUGAGGUUAAACUAAGCCUAGUUAAUAAUGAGAUGUAUAACAUGUAUAUGUAUAUAUAUAUAUAUGUGUAUAUAUAUAUUUCUUUCUAUGGAUUGUUAGGUGGCGUUACCUAUAUUAUAAUUUUAUAUUAGAUACUUUUCCCCUUUAGUUUUCCCCUGUUACAUUCCUGAAGGGGAUAAUUAAUGAAGAAAUGUACCUCUCUCACUUGGUCUCUGGCUCAGGUUUUUGCUGAUAAUAACAUUCCAAGAGUUAAUAGAUUAUAUCUAAACAGCUACAAGGGCUACAAUAACCUUGGCACGUAAGUAAAGUGAGACAAAACACAUACACCUGUGAGAUUGUUGUAGUUGUGAACUAAUCAAUUUGGAGGCUACUGGGUCAGAGUUAGGGUUAGGUCCUAUUAAAUCUUCGAAUAUCUUUCUCCAGUUGUAUUGUUGUAAAUAUAAUGAUUUUGUUUUCAUUUUUUUCGUUUUACUGUUUAAAUUAUUUACUAGAAUUAUUAUAGAUGCGCACAUCUGUAAAAUAUAGAAAUUGUAUUGACUAAACCUAAUGAAAC